rnacentral:lncRNA from 1 species
AAAAUGCAGGCCCUGCUGGUACCCUGCACCAGAGUCCCUGGGGGGCUGCGGGGUGGGGGACGGGCUGCUGCAGAGCGGGGCGGGUGGCAGCAGAUGGAGCAGAAGUGUGUCAAGCAAAAGCAGCAAAAUGAUGGCAGCUCCCCAGCUCGUGGUGGAUGCAGCCACCAGCAGUGCUUGGGUCUGGCCACCUGAUGGAGACCUUCAUCCCCUCCUCUCCAUUACCCGCCUGCCUUUCCCGAAAUGCCUCCAUGCACGUCCCUCAGCUCCAUAUG